UACGAAUGGGGCGAGCGUUGUUCGGAAUCACUGGGCGUAAAGAGUACGUAGGCGGAUUGCCAAGUCAGAAGUGAAAUCCCGGGGCUUAACCUCGGAAUGGCUUUUGAAACUGGUAGUCUAGAGUCCCGGAGAGGUCAGCGGAAUUCCGAGUGUAGAGGUGAAAUUCGCAGAUAUUCGGAGGAACACCAGUGGCGUAGGCGGCUGGCUGGACGGGAACUGACGCUGAGGUACGAAAGCGUGGGGAUCAAACAGG
rnacentral:misc_RNA from 1 species